UGUAGGGUAGUUUAUUAAAAAUGUUAGAUUGUAAAUCUGAAGAUAGCUUUGAGUAGUUUUCUAUAA
rnacentral:tRNA from 1 species